UCAGAGGCGUCCGUCCGAACCCGCGGCGCGGCCGGGACCGAGUCGCUCGCGUCGGGCAAGCCUCGCGGUGCGGAUCCCCCGCACAAUGCGGACAUCACAUCCACCGUCCCCCCUCGAGCCAACCGCUCUCCUUGUCGUCCGUCCAUCUAUCUGGAGGCUCUCCUUCUCGUCCCGGCCCCUCUCACAUGAAGUGUCAACACUCCCGGAGAGGAAAAAGAACGCAUUUUUACCUCCACUUCGUCUUCGCCGUCGCCUUCGAUCUGGUUUUGGUGAAGGAACAUAAAUGGCGAAGGAAUCAUCGUCGGUCCCGAGCACGCCACUUCUGAAGGCCGAGCUCGACAUCGUGAUCCCGACGAUACGGAACCUUGAUUUCUUGGAGAUGUGGCGGCCCUUCUUCCAGCCGUACCAUCUCGUCAUCGUGCAGGACGGGGACCCGAGCAAGCCGAUCAAAGUGCCGGAAGGGUUCGACUACGAGCUCUACAACCGCAACGACAUCAACCGCAUCCUGGGGCCCAAGGCCUCCUGCAUCUCCUUCAAGGACUCCACCUGCCGCUGCUUCGGCUACAUGAUCUCCAAGAAGAAGUACAUCUACACCAUUGACGACGACUGCUUCGUUGUUAAAGAUCCCUCUGGUAAGGAGAUCAAUGCGCUUCAACAGCACAUAAAGAAUCUCCUGACCCUUCCACUCCCUACUUCUUCAACACCUUGUAUGAUCCCUAUCGUGAAGGUACAGACUUUGUUCAUGGAUAUCCUUUCAGCCUCCGCGAAGGGGCUCCAACAGCUGUCUCUCAUGGCCUUUGGCUCAACAUACCCGACUAUGAUGCUCCCACCCAGCUUGUCAAGCCGCGUGAGAGGAACACGAGGUAUGUCGAUGCAGUCCUCACAAUACCAAAGGGAACACUAUUUCCCAUGCGCGGAAUGAACCUGGCCUUUGAUCGUGAGCUGAUCGGCCCUGCAAUGUACUUUGGACUUAUGGGCGAUGGUCAACCUAUCGGGCAUUAUCACGAUAUGUGGGCUGGUUGGUGUACCAAGGUUAUCUGUGAUCAUUUGGGAUUGGGAGUUGAGACAGGGUUACCCUACAUCUGGCACAGUAAGGCCAGCAACCCUUUUGUGAACCUGAAAAAGGAGAACAAUGGCAUCUUCUGGCAAGAAGAGCUAAUCCCUUUCUUCCAGACCGCCGUCCUUCCGAAGGAGUGCACCACUGUCCAGAAAUGCUACAUCGAACAGUCAAAGCAGGUGAGGGACAAGCUCAGCAAGACUGACCCCUACUUCACUAAGCUCGCAGAUACGAUGGUUACAUGGAUCGAGGCAUGGGAUGACCUCAACCCGCCAAAUGCAUCUUCCAAAUUGCCCGAUGGCCAAGCCAAGGCGAAGUAGAACAGUUUGGCGACUCUAAUCUAUCGUUCAAAACUUUCAAUUUGACAAUAAGAUGCUAAUCUUUUCCAAACUCUGUUAUGCUUCUAUCUGUGGCCAAGGACAGUAUUAACUCUAGGUAUUUGGUGGUGGUGAGGAAGGUGCCAUCAUGGAAGGAAGCAAGAGGAAUCGAUAUCAUAGUAUCAUCUUUGAAUAGAAUUGAACUGCAUCAACCAUCAAAUGGAGAAUGCAUCGAAGAGUAAAUGGCAAGAAGCCCAAUUCAAAGCAGAUGGAAU